rnacentral:rRNA from 1 species
CAACGAGAGACUCGGUGAAAUCAUAGUACCGGUGAAGAUGCCGGUUACCCGCGACAGGACGGAAAGACCCCGUGGAGCUUUACUGUAGCCUGAUAUUGAAAUUCGGUACAGUUUGUACAGGAUAGGUAGGAGCCUUAGAAGCGUGAGCGCUAGCUUACGUGGAGGCAUUGGUGGGAUACUACCCUAAUUGUAUUGGAUUUCUAACCCGCAGCACUUAUCGUGCUGGGAGACAGUGUCAGGCGGGCAGUUUGACUGGGGCGGUCGCCUCCUAAAGAGUAACGGAGGCGCUCAAAGGUUCCCUCAGAAUGGUUGGAAAUCAUUCAUAGAGUGUAAAGGCAUAAGGGAGCUUGACUGCGAGACCUACAAGUCGAGCAGGGUCGAAAGACGGACUUAGUGAUCCGGUGGUUCCGCAUGGAAGGGCCAUCGCUCAACGGAUAAAAGCUACCCCGGGGAUAACAGGCUUAUCUCCCCCAAGAGUUCACAUCGACGGGGAGGUUUGGCACCUCGAUGUCGGCUCAUCGCAUCCUGGGGCUGUAGUCGGUCCCAAGGGUUGGGCUGUUCGCCCAUUAAAGCGGUACGCGAGCUGGGUUCAGAACGUCGUGAGACAGUUCGGUCCCUAUCCGUCGUGGGCGUAGGAAAUUUGAGAGGAGCUGUCCUUAGUACGAGAGGACCGGGAUGGACAUACCUCUGGUGUACCAGUUGUCGUGCCAACGGCAUAGCUGGGUAGCUAUGUAUGGACGGGAUAAGUGCUGAAAGCAUCUAAGCAUGAAGCCCCCCUCGAGAUGAGAUUUCCCAACUUC